CUUUUCCCACCGGAGCUUGCUCCACCGGGAAAAGAGGAGUGGCGAACGGGUGAGUAACACGUGGGUAACCUGCCCAUCAGAAGGGGAUAACACUUGGAAACAGGUGCUAAUACCGUAUAACAAUCGAAACCGCAUGGUUUCGUUUUGAAAGGCGCUUUACGGUGCCGCUGAUGGAUGGACCCGCGGUGCAUUAGCUAGUUGGUGAGGUAACGGCUCACCAAGGCCACGAUGCAUAGCCGACCUGAGAGGGUGAUCGGCCACAUUGGGACUGAGACACGGCCCAAACUCCUACGGGAGGCAGCAGUAGGGAAUCUUCGGCAAUGGACGAAAGUCUGACCGAGCAACGCCGCGUGAGUGAAGAAGGUUUUCGGAUCGUAAAACUCUGUUGUUAGAGAAGAACAAGGGUGAGAGUAACUGUUCACCCCUUGACGGUAUCUAACCAGAAAGCCACGGCUAACUACGUGCCAGCAGCCGCGGUAAUACGUAGGUGGCAAGCGUUGUCCGGAUUUAUUGGGCGUAAAGCGAGCGCAGGCGGUUUCUUAAGUCUGAUGUGAAAGCCCCCGGCUCAACCGGGGAGGGUCAUUGGAAACUGGGAGACUUGAGUGCAGAAGAGGAGAGUGGAAUUCCAUGUGUAGCGGUGAAAUGCGUAGAUAUAUGGAGGAACACCAGUGGCGAAGGCGGCUCUCUGGUCUGUAACUGACGCUGAGGCUCGAAAGCGUGGGGAGCAAACAGGAUUAGAUACCCUGGUAGUCCACGCCGUAAACGAUGAGUGCUAAGUGUUGGAGGGUUUCCGCCCUUCAGUGCUGCAGCUAACGCAUUAAGCACUCCGCCUGGGGAGUACGACCGCAAGGUUGAAACUCAAAGGAAUUGACGGGGGCCCGCACAAGCGGUGGAGCAUGUGGUUUAAUUCGAAGCAACGCGAAGAACCUUACCAGGUCUUGACAUCCUUUGACCACUCUAGAGAUAGAGCUUCCCCUUCGGGGGCAAAGUGACAG
rnacentral:rRNA from 1 species